CCUGGGUCCUACUGCCUCCCUCGGCGGCCCGGGCUGCGGGGCGCCGGGAGUCCCCACGGGGAUCAGCGUGUCCUUCAGAGUGCGAGCUUCCUCCCACCCCCAGGCUCUCUGCAUAAGCUAGCCCACUCCGAAUCGCACGUCCUUUCAGGCGCCCCUUUCCCCGCAGGGGCUCUGCCCCAAGCAGAGCCAUCUCCCCUUCUCCCCGCUCUCCCCCAUUUUCAAGCUGAAACAAUUGAGUCCUGUGCACCCCCUCCCUCUCAGGGGAGACGUUCAGGCUUCUGAAGGCAGUGCCCUUCUCCAUACUUGUACAUUCAAAAAACCUCAACCUCAGCGAUGGCCAGAGGGAGAGGGAGCAGACCAGACCCGGUACCUGCCCGGCACCCGGAAAGUUCAAGUCGUGGAGUAAUAGAGGCAGAGAUGCCUGGGGAACUUCAGGUGGUCUGGCUGGGCUUGGAGGAGUGCACAGGAAGGAAAACCUGGCUCUCCACUGAGCAAGGUGCUGUGUGACCCUAAGCAGGUUACUUUCCCUUUCUGGGCCUCUGUUCCCUUGGCUGUGAAAUGUGGUUCUAAGGCAUCCCUUGCUUUUUUUCCCCCCUCUCUCCCUUCCUCAAUCCUUGUCACCCCUGGCCCCCUCCCUAUUGCAUCCCCUCCCUCUUUGGGUCCCCUCCCACAGGCCUCAGGUCUCACUGUCAAUUCCUACCCCACCCUCGCAAACUGAUAGCUCCUUGACCUCCAAGUUAAGCUAGGGUAUUCAUUACUGUUCUAGGUGCUGAGGACACAGCUGAGAGCUGAACAAAGUCCUUGCCCUGUGCGAUGUCCAUCUGUGGGGUAAGGAAGAAUGUUCCAAUUUUCAGCAUGAAGAAACUGAGGAUCAGGGAGACUAAGCAACAGGGUUAAGGGCACACAACAAGCCAGAGUCAGAGCUGGGUUUUGAAUCAGGUCUGUUUAUGCCAUAUCCACGGGAAGGCAGGGAGUGGACGAGAAGGAAGUGACAUUUAUGGGCCAUUUUGCCGCUGCCAGGCCUGUGCUGGGCACCGUCAUUAGUGUCUCACUUUUAAUUAUAGAACGUUAAUCGGAAGGAAGUUUAAUCCCCUUCUUUUUACAUUGGUAUAAAAUUGGAGCCCAGAAAGCUCCGACAGCCAGUCCAGGGUCGGCCCCCUCCCUCAGGGAGCCAGGGCUGCUAUAGGCAGCUCUUCUUUGAGAUGCUGUCCAGGAGCCAAGAAUGUGCUCUCAGCCCAAGGCAUGAGUCAGGAAAACACGAUUUCUGUAAUCUUGGAUUCUCUCUCUUGGAGCGUGGGGCCUUCCAUCCAAAAAGGGCUGUCCUGCGUGCUGCCACGUUGGAGGGUGGGCAGCCGGUCCAUGUGGGGGUGGGUGGGCACAUGAUUCCUCCCCUCCUCCUCCCAGAGCAGGCCCGCCCCUACCCGUCUGCAAUCCUGGUGCUGAGCGAAGCCACAUAGGAACUCCAGCGCCUUCACCCACAUGCCUGGCACAAUACCCAGGAGACACAAGCCCACUGACUCGCUAUAUACACAGGCGUAUGUGCACCCACAUACAUGGUGCACACACGGCACUUGAGCAGCCCCUUCACACAAUCCAUGUACACACAUGUCUGUGUAACUCCAGUAACCCAAAUGCACCCCACCCCCCUACACAAGUUUUUGUUGGGUAUUGACAUAUACACAGGAUCAGGUUCCCCGCCCCCUCUCCCAGCCUCCCUCUCUCAGGCUUCCUCUGGCAACCCAUGGAACCAGCUCCAGUGCCUGCAAGACCAGGCCUGAAGGGCUGGUGGGAUGGAGGAUGUGUGUUAACUACAGCCCUGCCUUUCCCUUCCCGUCUUGUUCUCCUCUCCCUUAGGUGCUGCUGAGCCUGUAAUAACAGUGAUGCCCAGGUGGGCUACAGGGCUGUCCUCCCUUGUCUUAGCAUCCCUGACACUCAGAAAAGGGACUCCUGAGCUCUGACCACCCCCUACACCCUGCCAAACCACCUCUAAUCUGCUUCAGCCCAGUUCAGCCCUGCUGUGCUAUGGAGUGUGAAAUGCCCUCACUUGGGGGUUAGGAGACCUGGGAUCCUGCCCCAGGUCUGCCACUUCUUGGCUAUGUACCCAUGAUUUAAAUUACCCCUCUGUAAAAUAGGACUGAUAGUCUGCAGGAUGAUGAGACACACAGAUAAAAUAAUGAAUAGCAGAGGACUUUGUGAACACUAAGUGAUGUUAGGCUCUCCACUCCACACCUCUGCUCACAUCUUCACCAACUGGUCAAAUCUUACACAACCCGUAGACGCCACUCUGACCAUUCCUUCCCUGUCCUCUGACCAUUCCUGCUCUGUCCUCUGAGCGCUGUCCCAUCAGUUCCAGUCACACCUCACCUUGCACAUACACACGACGCUAACAAAGGGCUGUGACUGGAGUGGGGACUUCCCUGGGGAGGCACAGGCAGAGGAUAGUAGUCUGGCAAAGCAGGAGAAGCCCAGCCUGGGAGUCAGAAAGUUUGUGUUGGGAUCUGUCCCUGGUGACCUUGGAAAGUCACUGCACCUCUCUGCACCUCAAUUUCCUCAUCUGUAACAUGGGAUAUGGGC
rnacentral:lncRNA from 10 species